AUUGAACGCUGGCGGCAGGCUUAACACAUGCAAGUCGAGCGGGGUGAUGGUGCUUGCACUAUCACUUAGCGGCGGACGGGUGAGUAAUGCUUAGGAAUCUGCCUAUUAGUGGGGGACAACAUCUCGAAAGGGAUGCUAAUACCGCAUACGUCCUACGGGAGAAAGCAGGGGAUCACUUGUGACCUUGCGCUAAUAGAUGAGCCUAAGUCGGAUUAGCUAGUUGGUGGGGUAAAGGCCUACCAAGGCGACGAUCUGUAGCGGGUCUGAGAGGAUGAUCCGCCCCACGGGGACUGAGACACGGCCCGGACUCCUACGGGAGGCAGCAGUGGGGAAUAUUGGACAAUGGGGGGAACCCUGAUCCAGCCAUGCCGCGUGUGUGGAGAAGGCCUUAUGGUUGUAAAGCACUUUAAGCGAGGAGGAGGCUCUUUUGGUUAAUACCCAAGAUGAGUGGACGUUACUCGCAGAAUAAGCACCGGCUAACUCUGUGCCAGCCGCCGCGGUAA
rnacentral:rRNA from 1 species